rnacentral:rRNA from 1 species
AUACAUAUAUCUUUAAUUUAUAUAGUUAUAAUAUAAAAAAAAGUGAAAAUUUAAUGUUGUAAUAUUAGAAAAAUUGAGAGUAAUGGUUGUAGGUAAAAUUUGAAGUUGUUACUAUUAAUUAUGGUUUUCUAUUAUUUAAGCUUUGAAAAUAAGGUUAUAUAAAAACUAGGAUUAGAUACCCUAUUAUUCUUUAUUUUAAAUUUUUUUUUUAUUUAAGUAGUGUAAAUAUUCUUUUAGGAGAUAAUAUUUGAAACUUAAAAAGCUUGGCGGUGCUAUAUACCCAUUUAGGGGAGCUUGUUUAUUAAUUUGAUAUUCCUCAAUUAACUCUUACUUUUUUUUGAAUAAUUUAACAGUUUGUAUAUUGCUGUCGUCAGUUUAUUUCGUGAGAAUCAUUAAAAAACGUAAAAGUAAAGUUGCUAAU